rnacentral:rRNA from 1 species
ACGGGAGGCAGCAGUGAGGAAUAUUGGUCAAUGGGCGGAAGCCUGAACCAGCCAAGUCGCGUGAAGGAUGAAGGUAUUAUGUAUUGUAAACUUCUUUAGUCGCAGAGAAAUAAGGAGGUCGUGACCUCUGAUGCUAGUAUGCGAAGAAUAAGGAUCGGCUAACUCCGUGCCAGCAGCCGCGGUAAUACGGAGGAUCCGAGCGUUAUCCGGAAUUACUGGGUGUAAAGGGAGUGUAGGCGGGACUGUAAGUCAGAUGUGAAAUAUGCCGGCUCAACUGGCAGACUGCAUUUGAAACUGCGGUUCUUGAGUGAAGUAGAGGUAAGCGGAAUUCCUAGUGUAGCGGUGAAAUGCGUAGAUAUUAGGAGGAACAUCAGUGGCGAAGGCGGCUUACCGGGCUUUAACUGACGCUGAGGCUCGAAAGCGUGGGGAGCAAACAGGAUUAGAUACCCUGGUA